rnacentral:rRNA from 1 species
CCAUCGCGCGUUCCGCUUCGCGCGCCCGCAGACGGCGCGCUCUGCGUGCGCGGCUCGGACAGGACGGGGGCGCUCGUCGCCCCCUCAAUUUAGACGGUCCCGGUCGGCGGCGGUUUUGUUUCGGGCACUCACAGGACCCGUCUUGAAACACGGACCAAGGAGUCUAGCAUGUGCGCGAGUCACUGGGAUUAUAUUAAUUUAUACACGCAUACACUAAGCCCACAGGCGCAAUGAAAGUGAAAGGCGGGCCUCGCGCCCGCCGCAGGGAAGAUGCGCGCGCGGCGAUUUCGCAUCGUCGCGCCGCCGCAUUCCCGAGGCGUUUCGAAAAAGCCACCGCGCGAUUAUCGAAACGCACUGAGAGCGCACACGCUGGGACCCGAAAGAUGGUGAACUAUGCCUGGUCAGGUCGAAGUCAGGGGAAACCCUGAUGGAGGACCGAAGCGAUUCUGACGUGCAAAUCGAUCGUCGGAACUGGGUAUAGGGGCGAAAGACUAAUCGAACUAUCUAAUAGCUGGUUCCAUCCGAAGUUUCCCUCAGGAUAGCUGGCGCUCGUGAAACAUGUGUCGCGUUCGCGCGACACAUUCAUACAGUCUCAUCCGGUAAAGCGAAUGAUUAGAGGCAUUGGGGCCGAAACGGCCUCAACCUAUUCUCAAACUUUAAAUGGGUGAGAUCUCAGUCUUGCUUUAUCUAAAUAUAUAUUUAUAUAUGUAUGUGAAGUCUGAGCUCGGAUGAGAGUGCCAAGUGGGCCAAUUUUGGUAAGCAGAACUGGCGCUGUGGGAUGAACCAAACGUCGAGUUAAGGCGCCAAACGGACGCUCAUCGGAAACCAUAAAAGGCGUUGGUCGCUCAUGACAGCAGGACGGUGGCCAUGGAAGUCGGAAUCCGCUAAGGAGUGUGUAACAACUCACCUGCCGAAGCAACCAGCCCUGAAAAUGGAUGGCGCUGUAGCGUCCGGCCUAUACUCGACCGUCGAAGGUAGAAGCAGCGAUGGGCGCAAGCUCGUCGCUCUUAAAUCUCGACGAGUAGGAUGGUCGCGGCGGUGAGCGCAGAAGGGUCCGGGCGUGAGCCCGCCUGGAGCCGCCGUCGGCGCAGAUCUUGGUGGUAGUAGCAAAUACUCAAGCGAGGUCCUUGAGGGCUGAUGUGGAGAAGGGUUUCGCGUUAACAGCCGUUGCACGCGAGUUAGUCGAUCCUAAGCCCUAGGAGAGAUCCUAUGUUGAUGACGGUGUAAGGUUUUNGUUUUAUAAAUACAACAACAACACCCGUCGGGCGAAAGGGAAUCCGGUUGCAGUUCCGGAACCCGGCUGCGGAACCGUCUUACAAAUCGUUCCCUCGCAAGAGAGUUCGUCGGGGUGACCCAAAGUGGCCUGAAGACGCCGACGGGAGAUCCGGAGAGAGUUCUCUUUUCUGCCUGAGCGCUUCCGGCGCCCUGGAAUCCUAUAGCGGGGAGAUAGGGCUCGGAGCGCGAAGAGCAUCGCCGAUGCGGCGGUGUCCGGAUCGUCCCCUCGGACCUUGAAAAUUCAGGUGAGGGACACGCGGAGAUGUCGCGCCGGCUCGUACCCAUAUCCGCAGCAGGUCUCCAAGGUGAAUAGCCUCUAGCCGAUAGAAUAAUGUAGGUAAGGGAAGUCGGCAAGUUGGAUCCGUAACUUCGGGAUAAGGAUUGGCUCUGAGGGCCGUGGCGUGUCGGGCUUGGUCGGGAUGGAGUCAAGGAUCUGUCUGCGGAAGCCGGUCUCCGGACUGGCGCCGCUGACGGAUCUCGCUCCGGAUCUUCCUCGCUAUGCGGGCCGUGUAUAUGAGUGCGACUUGUCGUUGCUCGUCUGCGCGCGCCUUUUACGACUGCCGAAUGACGGUCGACUCAGAACUGGCACGGACAAGGGGAAUCCGACUGUCUAAUUAAAACAAAGCAUUGCGAUGGCCCACGCGGGUGUUGACGCAAUGUGAUUUCUGCCCAGUGCUCUGAAUGUCAACGUGAAGAAAUUCAAGCAAGCGCGGGUAAACGGCGGGAGUAACUAUGACUCUCUUAAGGUAGCCAAAUGCCUCGUCAUCUAAUUAGUGACGCGCAUGAAUGGAUUAACGAGAUUCCCUCUGUCCCUAUCUACUAUCUAGCGAAACCACUGCCAAGGGAACGGGCUUGGGAGAAUCAGCGGGGAAAGAAGACCCUGUUGAGCUUGACUCUAGUCUGGUACUGUGAGGUGACAUGAGGGGUGUAGAAUAAGUGGGAGGCCCGUCACGGUUCGCCCUCGCGGGCGGCCCCGGUGCCGACGGUGAAAUACCACUACUUUCAUCGUUUCGUCACUUACUCAGUUGGGCGGAGGGCGUGCGCCGCGGCCGCGUUAAAAACGGCCGCGGGCGUCACGGGUUUUUCGCGCCAAACGCGCACGGGGCGGUCAGGAGUCUGGCGGAUGGGUCGGGCGUGCGUUUAGCGCGCCGCGUGUCGCGCGUGGGUCUCGG